rnacentral:rRNA from 1 species
UACGUAGGGGGCAAGCGUUGUCCGGAAUCAUUGGGCGUAAAGCGCGUGUAGGCGGCCCGGUAAGUCCGCUGUGAAAGUCCAGGGCUCAACCCUGGGAUGCCGGUGGAUACUGUCGGGCUCGAGUCCGGAAGAGGCGAGUGGAAUUCCCGGUGUAGCGGUCGAAAUGCGCAGAUAUCGGGAGGAACACCAAUGGCGAAGGCAGCUCGCUGGGACGGUACUGACGCUGAGACGCGAAAGCG